rnacentral:rRNA from 1 species
GAUGAACGCUGGCGGCGUGCCUAAUACAUGCAAGUCGAGCGAGAAAUUAAGAAGAAGCGUUUCGGACAAUUCAUCUUAAUGGAAAGCGGCGGACGGGUGAGUAACGCGUAGGCAACCUGCCCUUAGCAGAGGGAUAGCCAUUGGAAACGAUGAUUAAAACCUCAUAACGCAUGACCAACACAUGUUGGAUAUGCCAAAGAUUUAUCGGCUAAGGAUGGGCCUGCGUCUGAUUAACUAGUUGGUGAGGUAACGGCUCACCAAGGUAACGAUCAGUAGCCGACCUGAGAGGGUGAUCGGCCACAUUGGAACUGAGACACGGUCCAAACUUC